GAAGAAAAAUCCAAACAUACUGAAAGCUGUAUUACGAUUAGUUGGAUGGAAAUUUUUAAUACUAAUUUUACUUACAUUGGUUCAGGAAACGGCGGUAGUUGCAGGAGAAUUAUACUUUUUAGGAUUAACAGUACAUUAUUUUGAAAAUAGGUCGAAAUGGAAUCCGUAUAAUAUUUACUUAAUCAUUGCCGGAUAUUUUGGCAUGAUUGCGAUUCAUUUGUUUUCACAUAAUACUAAUUUUUUUAUGACAGAGAUUAUUGGAAUGAAAUUAAAAAUAGCUUUUUGCACGAUUAUAUAUAGAAAGGCAAUGAGGUUAAGUCCUUCAUCUCUCGAAAAAUCGAAUGUUGGGUAAAUCGUAAA